CCAGCCCCUCUGCUGGAGCGUCAGCCGGUACCAUCAACCUCGGUAGAGUCUUUCCUGCCGUCUCCACUUUGUUUUAUUUUCCUCCUUUCUCAUCUGCUUCGGAUCCCUUCCACCAGUUUCGAGUUGCUCUCGUGCCCGCGACCCCCUCCCCGCCCCUCUCCGCCCGCGCUGCGGGCCAGGCACGAGGGAGGCAGCCCCGAAGGCUCCGCGGCGGCGGCGGCGGCGGCGGCGGCUCCUCGCCGGCUGCUCGCAAAGUCCGGCGGGCCGAGACAGCCGGCAACUCCUCUCAACUUCUGCCGAUCCGCGGGCGAAGCAACACGCUUCCUGCGCGUCCCUCCCGGGGGCUGAGCCGCUAGGAGGUGUGAGCCUGACUGUCCUCACCUAACCCCAGAGUCCAUUGAAGAAAUGGGCCAGGAUCUAAAGAUGCUUCCAUCACCUGGUCCGAGGGCAAAGAGAAGAUUCGCUGCAAUAACUGGAGGAGGUAGAGGAGAGGAUGGAGGGCAGACAAGAGGCUUGAGGUAAUGGGUGAGCGUGUGUGUAAAGAGUACAUUUAAAUGAAUGACCUUAACCUCCUUAACCUUUUCCUUUCUCGGACCAUAGACCUAGAUCGGUGUGGCUGGUGAGUGAGCAGUCUUUGGCAACACCUGGUCAUUCUCCUUCCCUUUCACAUCCUGCCAAUGUGUGAAGUCCAUAGGAGCCCUCCAGGGUGGUGGCCCAGCUUCAGGAGCAACCAGCACGAGACCCAGUGCCCUGAUCAGGGUGCAGUGGCUCUGACCUGCAGACCAUACUGUCUGGGAAAGCCCAGAGCCUAGCUUGUUCAAAUGUGGUUGCUGCACUAAAAGGAGACACCUGAGACAUACCAUGUGGCUUCCCCCUCCUCCUCCUGGGGGAACCUCACACAUGGCCAGGCUCACAUAUAGACAAACCACGCUGCAGUGAAUCCGUGGCUUCUCAGGAAUCAGGCCACAGCCGUUACCCAUCACCUCCUCUCGGCAGCUAACCCAGCAGCGUUCUUCAAGGCUUCGGGGCCAGACAGGAGCCAAGCCAAGGCUGCAGCAGCCAGGUAGCUGACUGAGCCUCCAGACAACCCCACACCUGGGAGGUUCUCCUGCCCCAAAACCUUUACAGUCCUCAUUCUCCCGAACCCAAGGCCGAAUUAUUAUACUGUAUUCCAACAAAUUGCCAGAGUGCCGCCAACGCCU